rnacentral:misc_RNA from 1 species
UUGAUGUGAGAUGGAGGCUUCUUAAUGGAAAAAUAGAUCCUUCUGGUGAUACUGAAGCAUUACUAUCUGAAGCCCUUUCUAUUUUCCAGGAGCAAUUUGAUCCUAUUCUUGUAGCUGGAACUUCUGCCAAAGCUGACUGUGACCUCAUCCCAUCAAUGGUUUUUGGAGAUAGUGUCAAAGGACAGGAACUGGGUGGCAUGUAUUGUGCUGUAUUGAUUGUCAACCAAGUGGUGGUGUCAUCUGCAAUCAUUAGGUUUUUUGGCCAGGAAUUGGCAGAGCUUCCUCUAGUUGCAACUAGGAGCAAAGUCCAAGGACAGGGUUAUUUUCAGGCCUUAUUUACUUGUAUUGAGAAGCUACUUGGAUUUCUCAAUGUUAAGAAUCUUGUACUUCCUGCAGCCGAAGAAGCUGAAUCUAUUUGGACAAAUAAAUUUGGUUUCAGCAAGUUAACCCAAGAAGAGGUGCGGACAUGUUCUCAUGAUCUAAGUAUACAUGCGUGCGUGUGCUUUCUGCUUGUUAGCCUCCUAAACCGAUCUUCCUACUGAUUAGUUAGAUGUGCAUGUCUUGUGUCCUAACAUGUUUUUCAACUAGCAAGUUUUGAAUUCUGUGGUGGUAGAUAGUUUCUUCCUAUUAAUACACUCAAAACUUUUCAGCUUCUCCUAUUAUCACUUGCAGUAUUUUGUAAUUUUCAAUAAGUAUUCUAUUAAUGAAAUAAUCUCCAUACUUAUACAUUAUGCCGUAUUGCAGUUUAUGAAAUUUAGGAAGAAUUAUCAAAUGAUGGUGUUUCAAGGGACAUCAAUGCUGCAGAAGCCAGUCCCCAAGUGCCGGAUUGUUGGUCGAUCGGAAGGUGGUUGAAUGAUGAAGGAAUGAGUGGAAUGCUUUUCAUACAAGUAGGGAAAGCAAAUUUUGGGGGAGUCAAAUUCCUUUUAAUGUACAGGGAUAUGUUUUUGCAAGUUAGUGUACAGGAUAUAGAUGGUUAUAGUUGAAGCUCACAGGGUUUUUACAAAAAAUUCUUUUUGUAGAAGGAAAGUGGAAAGAGAUCAUAGGCAGUUGAUAUGUAUACAGGCGCUAGGGGGCUCUACAUUUGCAGUAAACUUGCAUAGUUUUGACUUGAUAGUGAAUGGAAGCAACCUUUGCUCUUUGAAGGA